GGUGCUCUUAUUGGUUGCCAUGGUGACGAUAGAUGCUUAACAACAGCAGGAGAAAGGAGGCUUGAGGCUGAGAAUGUAAUGCCCAAACAACGUCAUAUUUCUCAUCCUCUGUAACUGCUAUCUUCAUGAUAAUGAGCUUGUGAGAACCACAAGACCCGGCUGAACACGUUGAUACAACUUCUGUGUCUGUGGAGCCAAAAAUGCCUUCACUACGACGAGUUAAAAACAUGUCCAGUUUGUGUUUCCUCUGAAAAUCCUCCUCUCAGGUUUAUAUUGGAGUCAAUGGAGAAAGCUGGAGAAAUCUGGGGGAUGUCUGCGGCAGUUGGUGUCUGCCCAGGCCACUGUGUGUGUCCUAUGGCUUUGAUUUUUGACAUGAAGAGUGACAGCAAGUUUUGCCAUCACUGUACCAAUUUUUAUCUGUGUAGAGCCAAGUGAGUUGCCACAAUCCUUUUGUAAAGACAAAGUUUUGAGGAUCAAUUUUCAGCCUGUCUCACUCUAGCUGUGAGGUCACCCACUCUAGCUGCCAACAUUCCGUGCAAUACACACUAAUGUUAAAACCUGAACAGGUCUGAAAAUCUUUGGACUUUUUGAACUGUCACUGUGAGAAAAGUAUGAAUGCCAUGAAGAUGGUGAAUGAAUGAGUGAAUGUCUGAAGAUGUGUGAAUAUUUUAAAGUUUGAAUGAAGUUUCUAGGUGAAAGUAUGAAUGAAUGAGAAGAGGUUGAAGUUGACUACGUCUGAAGCCCUUUUCCCAUUGAAUCCCAUUAUAACGAAGUUUUAAACAAAUCUUAAUAUUUUGAAAAGUACAAAUGGGAUUAAAAAUGUUGAAGAUGUGGAAUAAUGCUGACGAAGUUGUGAAUAUUUUGGUUUUUGAAUGAAGUUUCUACGUGGAAGUAUAGAGGAGUUGAAGGCUUUUGAAGUUGUGUGAAGAAAAUGUGAGAAAAGGGCCAAUUUGAACAUUCCGUAAUGCAUUUCCAAUGGGAGAAAUCGGUCGGAAAACCUGGAAUAUCUCGGAAAGUAUGAAUGUUAGGAAAUUUUUGAAUACAAGCCGGAAUCUCCUGAAUGAGACGAAUCUUUUGAAGUUUGAAUGGUUUGAAUACGUUGAAGUAUGUGGAAGGAGAAGCGGUCCAAAAAACGGUGGAAGAAUAAUAAUAAUAAAGAUAUGAAUAACAUAUAGUGGGAAUGCUUCGCAAUCCCACUCAAUAAGUUUAAUAAAGAAACGGGAGAAUAACAAUAAGUGGAAAUGCCUAUCAGCAUUUCCACUUAACUAGAAAAAUUGCAUUUCCUUGCAGAAAAUGCGUGGAAAUGCUGAGUGCUGAAAGCUGAAAAAGCAAUGCUAAACUGGUAAUAAAACAUGGAGAAAGGUAUAAAUGUUAAAGC